rnacentral:rRNA from 1 species
AGCGAACGCUGGCGGCAGGCCUAACACAUGCAAGUCGAACGAAGCCUUCGGGCUUAGUGGCGGACGGGUGAGUAACACGUGGGAACGUACCUUUUGGUUCGGAACAACUCAGGGAAACUUGAGCUAAUACCGGAUGAGCCCUUAGGGGGAAAGAUUUAUCGCCGAAAGAGCGGCCCGCGUUAGAUUAGCUGGUUGGUGAGGUAAAGGCUCACCAAGGCAACGAUCUAUAGCUGGUCUGAGAGGAUGAUCAGCCACACUGGGACUGAGACACGGCCCAGACUCCUACGGGAGGCAGCAGUGGGGAAUCUUGCGCAAUGGGCGAAAGCCUGACGCAGCCAUGCCGCGUGAAUGAUGAAGGUCUUAGGAUCGUAAAAUUCUUUUACCAGGGACGAUAAUGACGGUACCUGGAGAAAAAGCCCCGGCUAACUUCGUGCCAGCCGCCGCCGUAAAAC